UUGAUUUAACGAAAAUCAUUUUCGGACUCAUAAUCGCUUGGUCGCUGGUUCAAACCCAGCAGGGGCCACCA
rnacentral:tRNA from 1 species